rnacentral:rRNA from 1 species
AUUGAACGCUGGCGGCAUGCUUUACACAUGCAAGUCGAGCGGCAGCACGGGGGCAACCCUGGUGGCGAGCGGCGAACGGGUGAGUAAUACAUCGGAACAUGCCCAGUCGUGGGGGAUAACACUUCGAAAGAAGUGCUAAUACCGCAUACGUCCUGAGGGAGAAAGCGGGGGAUCGCAAGACCUCGCGCGAUUGGAGUGGCCGAUGUCAGAUUAGCUAGUUGGUGGGGUAAAGGCCUACCAAGGCAACGAUCUGUAGCUGGUCUGAGAGGAUGAUCAGCCACACUGGGACUGAGACACGGCCCAGACUCCUACGGGAGGCAGCAGUGGGGAAUUUUGGACAAUGGGGGCAACCCUGAUCCAGCCAUGCCGCGUGAGUGAAGAAGGCCUUCGGGUUGUAAAGCUCUUUCGGCAGGAACGAAACGGUGAGCUCUAACAUAGCUCGCUAAUGACGGUACCUGAAGAAGAAGCACCGGCUAACUACGUG